UUAGCGGACUACCUGCUUUAGCAGUCAGUUGAUGGGAAGUUUUCAUUCUGCUCAGCUGGCUGCAUACUCCCUUUAUGCUGCUAAAAGCAAGCAGCUGAUUUUGCAACAAUCAAAGGUAAUGAAACGGAAAAGGGGGAGAGAAGGUUGCAAUACAGGGAUGGUGGAAGUUUUACUCUACUUGUUCAUGGAUUUUGUGUUUUGUUGUUGUUUAAGAGUUUAGAAAUUACCCCCGGGGAUGUGUGAAAUCUAGGUGUGUUUGUUUAUGUGUAGGAAUAAAAUGAGAAUAAGUGGAUGGACCCCCCUCCUCUUUCAGAAUGGUAUGCACCUAUUGCCUUUAGGCAAAUGUGUAGGAACUGCAUAAAAAAUCCUUCAUGCCAUUAGUUUGUCAGUCAGUGGUGAGGAUAGGUGUCACUAUUGCAAUUUCCCCCAUACCAUGCUUUUGGCUGUUUUAAAGGGAUCAUAAUUGUGAAGUCAUUCAUGCAGUCCACUAAUGCAUCUGUUUGAGCUUCUUCCAGAUUGGUAGCACCAGCUAAUCCUGUGUGAAGGCUGGAUGGGUUUCAUCAGACGGAGUAAAAAACGCAGGAGGAGGACUGAAGAUUUAUGUUAAUAAGUGAUGGAUAAAAAGGGAGCACAUUAUAAAUUAAAUAUGUGACCAAGACAUUGAAAUGUGUACUGAAUUUGUCUACAUUACUGCUCAAGGAAAUAAGUUACUUCAUCCUGGCUGACUCCGUAACAGUGAUGAUUCACUCUAUACCAGAGUUUGUUUGUUUUUUAUUAUUAUAAGUAUCAUCCAUCUAUUCAUAUGUAAUUCACUACAACAGUAACAAAAAUUUUGUUCUUGUAUCACCCUAAAUCACACAAGUAAUGCCGCAAUGGGCUUUAACAGGCCUUGUUUCAUGACGUACCCCAGCCUUGAUUCCCCAAGAAGGCAAGAAAAAGACUCCCAAAAAAAGAAAAAACACCUUUGUAGGAAUGAAAAAUGGAAACAAUCUUGGGAAAGGCAAUUCAGAGAGAGACCCUUCCAGGUAGGUUGUGUGUGCAAUGGAUGUGAAAAAACUGGGUAAAUAUAAUACACAAAACAGAACACAAGCAAUCUUCUUUACAAAGCUAGAUGGCAAAUAUGUAUCUGCCAUUGCCACUUCAGAAUUAUAGAAUAGUACAAUAUAGAAUAGUAGUACAAACUACAGGGCAAAAUGCAAAUAUAGUGUAGAAUAUACUACUCACUAAAUACGGAACUAUCACAUAUGAAGACACAAAUUUGUUCAAAUGCAUAAACAACAAAGUAGAAACUAAUUAACAUAAAUGAAAAACAACAAUAUCUGCCCAUUGGCUAAUUGUAGAACCACUGCCAGAUUAUA